GACGAACGCUGGCGGCGUGCUUAACACAUGCAAGUCGAACGGAAAGGCCCUGCUUUUGUGGGGUGCUCGAGUGGCGAACGGGUGAGUAACACGUGAGUAACCUGCCCUUGACUUUGGGAUAACUUCAGGAAACUGGGGCUAAUACCCGAUAGGAGCUCCUGCUGCAUGGUGGGGGUUGGAAAGUUUCGGCGGUUGGGGCUGGACUCGCGGCUUAUCAGCUUGUUGGUGGGGUAGUGGCUUACCAAGGCUUUGACGGGUAGCCGGCCUGAGAGGGUGACCGGCCACAUUGGGACUGAGAUACGGCCCAGACUCCUACGGGAGGCAGCAGUGGGGAAUAUUGCACAAUGGGCGGAAGCCUGAUGCAGCAACGCCGCGUGCGGGAUGACGGCCUUCGGGUUGUAAACCGCUUUCGCCUGUGACGAAGCGUAAGUGACGGUAAUGGGUAAAGAAGCACCGGCUAACUACGUG
rnacentral:rRNA from 1 species